rnacentral:rRNA from 1 species
UUAAGCGACUAAGCGUACACGGUGGAUGCCCUGGCAGUCAGAGGCGAUGAAGGACGUGCUAAUCUGCGAUAAGCGUCGGUGAGGUGAUAUGAACCGUUAUAACCGGCGAUUUCCGAAUGGGGAAACCCAGUGUGUUUCGACACACUAUCAUUAACUGAAUCCAUAGGUUAAUGAGGCGAACCGGGGGAACUGAAACAUCUAAGUACCCCGAGGAAAAGAAAUCAACCGAGAUUCCCCCAGUAGCGGCGAGCGAACGGGGAGGAGCCCAGAGCCUGAAUCAGUGUGUGUGUUAGUGGAAGCGUCUGGAAAGGCGCGCGAUACAGGGUGACAGCCCCGUACACAAAAAUGCACAUACUGUGAGCUCGAUGAGUAGGGCGGGACACGUGGUAUCCUGUCUGAAUAUGGGGGGACCAUCCUCCAAGGCUAAAUACUCCUGACUGACCGAUAGUGAACCAGUACCGUGAGGGAAAGGCGAAAAGAACCCCGGCGAGGGGAGUGAAAAAGAACCUGAAACCGUGUACGUACAAGCAGUGGGAGCCUCUUAAUGGGGUGACUGCGUACCUUUUGUAUAAUGGGUCAGCGACUUAUAUUCUGUAGCAAGGUUAACCGAAUAGGGGAGCCGAAGGGAAACCGAGUCUUAACUGGGCGUUAAGUUGCAGGGUAUAGACCCGAAACCCGGUGAUCUAGCCAUGGGCAGGUUGAAGGUUGGGUAACACUAACUGGAGGACCGAACCGACUAAUGUUGAAAAAUUAGCGGAUGACUUGUGGCUGGGGGUGAAAGGCCAAUCAAACCGGGAGAUAGCUGGUUCUCCCCGAAAGCUAUUUAGGUAGCGCCUCGUGAAUUCAUCUCCGGGGGUAGAGCACUGUUUCGGCAAGGGGGUCAUCCCGACUUACCAACCCGAUGCAAACUGCGAAUACCGGAGAAUGUUAUCACGGGAGACACACGGCGGGUGCUAACGUCCGUCGUGAAGAGGGAAACAACCCAGACCGCCAGCUAAGGUCCCAAAGUCAUGGUUAAGUGGGAAACGAUGUGGGAAGGCCCAGACAGCCAGGAUGUUGGCUUAGAAGCAGCCAUCAUUUAAAGAAAGCGUAAUAGCUCACUGGUCGAGUCGGCCUGCGCGGAAGAUGUAACGGGGCUAAACCAUGCACCGAAGCUGCGGCAGCGACACUAUGUGUUGUUGGGUAGGGGAGCGUUCUGUAAGCCUGUGAAGGUGGCCUGUGAGGGUUGCUGGAGGUAUCAGAAGUGCGAAUGCUGACAUAAGUAACGAUAAAGCGGGUGAAAAGCCCGCUCGCCGGAAGACCAAGGGUUCCUGUCCAACGUUAAUCGGGGCAGGGUGAGUCGACCCCUAAGGCGAGGCCGAAAGGCGUAGUCGAUGGGAAACAGGUUAAUAUUCCUGUACUUGGUGUUACUGCGAAGGGGGGACGGAGAAGGCUAUGUUGGCCGGGCGACGGUUGUCCCGGUUUAAGCGUGUAGGCUGGUUUUCCAGGCAAAUCCGGAAAAUCAAGGCUGAGGCGUGAUGACGAGGCACUACGGUGCUGAAGCGACAAAUGCCCUGCUUCCAGGAAAAGCCUCUAAGCAUCAGGUAACAUUAAAUCGUACCCCAAACCGACACAGGUGGUCAGGUAGAGAAUACCAAGGCGCUUGAGAGAACUCGGGUGAAGGAACUAGGCAAAAUGGUGCCGUAACUUCGGGAGAAGGCACGCUGAUAUGUAGGUGAAGCGACUUGCUCGUGGAGCUGAAAUCAGUCGAAGAUACCAGCUGGCUGCAACUGUUUAUUAAAAACACAGCACUGUGCAAACACGAAAGUGGACGUAUACGGUGUGACGCCUGCCCGGUGCCGGAAGGUUAAUUGAUGGGGUUAGCGGCAACGCGAAGCUCUUGAUCGAAGCCCCGGUAAACGGCGGCCGUAACUAUAACGGUCCUAAGGUAGCGAAAUUCCUUGUCGGGUAAGUUCCGACCUGCACGAAUGGCGUAAUGAUGGCCAGGCUGUCUCCACCCGAGACUCAGUGAAAUUGAACUCGCUGUGAAGAUGCAGUGUACCCGCGGCAAGACGGAAAGACCCCGUGAACCUUUACUAUAGCUUGACACUGAACAUUGAGCCUUGAUGUGUAGGAUAGGUGGGAGGCUUUGAAGUGUGGACGCCAGUCUGCAUGGAGCCGACCUUGAAAUACCACCCUUUAAUGUUUGAUGUUCUAACGUGGGCCCGUAAUCCGGGUUGCGGACAGUGUCUGGUGGGUAGUUUGACUGGGGCGGUCUCCUCCUAAAGAGUAACGGAGGAGCACGAAGGUUGGCUAAUCCUGGUCGGACAUCAGGAGGUUAGUGCAAUGGCAUAAGCCAGCUUGACUGCGAGCGUGACGGCGCGAGCAGGUGCGAAAGCAGGUCAUAGUGAUCCGGUGGUUCUGAAUGGAAGGGCCAUCGCUCAACGGAUAAAAGGUACUCCGGGGAUAACAGGCUGAUACCGCCCAAGAGUUCAUAUCGACGGCGGUGUUUGGCACCUCGAUGUCGGCUCAUCACAUCCUGGGGCUGAAGUAGGUCCCAAGGGUAUGGCUGUUCGCCAUUUAAAGUGGUACGCGAGCUGGGUUUAGAACGUCGUGAGACAGUUCGGUCCCUAUCUGCCGUGGGCGCUGGAGAACUGAGGGGGGCUGCUCCUAGUACGAGAGGACCGGAGUGGACGCAUCACUGGUGUUCGGGUUGUCAUGCCAAUGGCACUGCCCGGUAGCUAAAUGCGGAAGAGAUAAGUGCUGAAAGCAUCUAAGCACGAAACUUGCCCCGAGAUGAGUUCUCCCUGA